AUUGAACGCUGGCGGCAUGCUUUACACAUGCAAGUCGAACGGCAGCGCGGGCUUCGGCCUGGCGGCGAGUGGCGAACGGGUGAGUAAUACAUCGGAACGUGCCCAGUAGUGGGGGAUAGCUCGGCGAAAGCCGGAUUAAUACCGCAUACGACCUGAGGGUGAAAGCGGGGGAUCUUCGGACCUCGCGCUAUUGGAGCGGCCGAUGGCCGAUUAGCUAGUUGGUGGGGUAAAGGCCUACCAAGGCGACGAUCUGUAGCUGGUCUGAGAGGACGACCAGCCACACUGGGACUGAGACACGGCCCAGACUCCUACGGGAGGCAGCAGUGGGGAAUUUUGGACAAUGGGCGAAAGCCUGAUCCGGCAAUGCCGCGUGUGUGAUGAAGGCCUUCGGGUUGUAAAGCACUUUUGGCGGGAACGAAAAGGACUGUGCCAAUACCACGGUUCGAUGACGGUACCCGCAGAAUAAGCACCGGCUAACUACGUG
rnacentral:rRNA from 1 species